rnacentral:lncRNA from 1 species
CUUUUGAAUUACGGAAAUUUAGCCAACGUGAAGUGCUAUAUGGACAUUGUUUAGAAAGAACUGAUGUGUUAACCUAACCUAAGCUCGUCACGAGACAGUUUUUCCCAAAGGUGAAGACAUAGAAACUACAUUGGCAAACCUCGACGGUAGGCCUCAUUUUACAUGGACCAAAAGAGAGAACAUCUCCAAAUCAUUUAACCAUGCACAAAUCCAUCAGACAAACAUGAAGAGUCAGGCAGCAGGCUACUGAAUUCUCCAUUGACGCAUUUAAAGAGUCACAAAGAGAGUUUUCAAAGUAUCUAAAGAAGAAAUCAAAGAACUGAGACUAAGUACAGGUCCGAAAUCCACAUGAACAAACUCAGCUACUAGUAGUAAAGCAACAAACACAGAGAACCUAACAAUAAUCUUACCUUCUAAGUGGCAUCUCAAGCACAACUAAACACAAUAGCAUACCAGAGAAAACUUACUCAGAUCCUAGACUUUCCAUCAUUGUUCAGAAGAAAUCAGUCCCAGUAAAUGAAAAGAGAAUCCAAUUUUUGAAAUUCUUUCCAAAAUCUGUCUAUUCUUUAUUGUAUUUGAAAGAUAUGAAUCUCAAUUCAAGAUCAGAACUCCGGCGACGGACCACAUCACUGAACUAGGACAGAAAUGAUGUUUGGAAAACUGAAAUGAUCCCAAUCUUAACAAAUGGUGAAAACAAAUCACUGGAAAUGUCGACAAAUAGAUAGAAAAUUCAAACUGAUUGGGAUGCAAACAUCAAGAUAGUCGCACCUUCUUAGCGUUAAGUCUUGAACGAAAACUGCGUGUAACUUGACUGAUUAGCAAAUAGUACACGAGUAGGCAUGGAAUUUCGAGGAACAACCCCUGUUGACACACCGGUUUUGACAAAUCAGUGGAAAAGGGGAUCAGUAUUUUUGCUUCAUGAGAUUUUGAUCCUAGGA